UUUUAAUCAGUGUGUCGCACGCUUUCCUAUAAACUUUUCGUUCUCGGUGUGUGGAACGUGCGAGGGUUAUGAUUAUUACCAAGCUAAAUAUAAUGGUAUAUGAUGACUCCCCUUUACUGAGGUUAUAACCGGUGAAAUGGUAAAGCAUGUAUUAGCUGAUCACGUGUCCAGUGAGGUCACGCUGUACUCUCCCAGAAAUCACAUGGCUCCUGGUGAAUUUUCUUUUUGUUACUGUUUUUUACCACAGAACCACAAUGAUUUCAUAUUUCUGCUCAGCCAUUGAUCAUUGUCCAGAAAAGGGUGGACAGCGGGAGAUUUAUAGGUAAAUGGAUGCUCAGAUGGCUGAAGGGAGCACUACCUAGUCCUUUCUAAGGGUUUUGUGGAUUUCUUCGAAUACAGUGAAGAUCUCGAUCAGGACAGUUUUGUCACGUGGAGUUUGAAACAGUAGGUAUUUAACAGAUGUCUGAUUUUCAUACCUCUUAUCUAUCGCAUAUUGUGCUACCAGGAAUAAGAAUUAUGGCUAAAAAUGUAUUUUGCAGGUAAAGCAUGGGAUUGAUUCAAUCCUGGAGCUUUUUUUGAAAUCGUAAAUGUCAUAUCGUAAAAGGUAAAUGCAGAUAAAUGACCUUAAUGCAAACCAGUUUUACUAAUGCAAACUUUGUGAUAUUUUGCUUGUAU